AGAGUUUGAUCAUGGCUCAGAUUGAACGCUGGCGGCAUGCCUUACACAUGCAAGUCGAGCGGCAGCGCGGGGGCAACCCUGGCGGCGAGCGGCGGACGGGUGAGUAAUACAUCGGAACGUGUCCUGUCGUGGGGGAUAACCAGUCGAAAGACUGGCUAAUACCGCAUGAGAUCUCACGAUGAAAGCGGGGGACCGCAAGGCCUCGCGCGACUGGAGCGGCCGAUGUCGGAUUAGCUAGUUGGCGGGGUAAAAGCCCACCAAGGCUACGAUCCGUAGCUGGUUUGAGAGAACGACCAGCCACACUGGGACUGAGACACGGCCCAGACUCCUACGGGAGGCAGCAGUGGGGAAUUUUGGACAAUGGGGGCAACCCUGAUCCAGCCAUGCCGCGUGUGUGAAGAAGGCCUUCGGGUUGUAAAGCACUUUCGGCCGGAACGAAAUCGCGCGGGUGAACAUCCCGCGUGGAUGACGGUACCGAAGAAGAGCCC
rnacentral:rRNA from 1 species